AACGAACGCUGGCGGCGUGCCUAACACAUGCAAGUCGAACGAGAAACUUCCCGCUUGCGGGAGGGAGUAAAGUGGCGCACGGGUGAGUAACGCGUGGGUAACCUGCCCUUGAAUCUGGGAUAACUCUGCGAAAGCGGUGCUAAUACCGGAUAUGGUUUCGAAGACUUCGGUUUUCGGGAUUAAAGGUGACCUCUUCAUGAAAGUUGCCGUUUAAGGAUGGGCCCGCGUACCAUUAGCUUGUUGGUAGGGUAAUGGCCUACCAAGGCUACGAUGGUUAGCUGGUCUGAGAGGAUGAUCAGCCACACUGGAACUGAAACACGGUCCAGACUCCUACGGGAGGCAGCAGUGAGGAGUUUUGCGCAAUGGGGGAAACCCUGACGCAGCAACGCCGCGUGAGCGAAGAAGGCCUUUGGGUCGUAAAGCUCUGUCAAGUGGGAAAAACGUCUA
rnacentral:rRNA from 1 species